rnacentral:lncRNA from 1 species
AGUUGGCACUUGGCACUUAUGAGGUGAAGGCAAAGCUGGUUCGUGAGGCUUAUUUUCAAUUCUUUGUGAACCACAAGCCCUCACACUGCAAGAUCGUCAUGACAACCUGUCAGGAUGGGAGCCAGGCGAAGUCAGAGCUUAAUUCUAAAACUCCCCCCAAAACUGAGGAAGAAAAACCUCUGCAGGAGAUGCAGGGCAGCACUCUCUGUCCUUGGGUAUCUGUGCUUCAAGAUCAUUGCCCGGCCGGCCGAGCCUCACCCUCACAGCGUGCUUCCUAGGUGAAGCCCAGCAAGGGCCGGACUCAGACCUAUUUCAGACUGAAGUAAAGUGGAUUCCAGAGUAGCUCUGAAAUAUAACAGGAAAUAUAGAAAUAUAUAUUGGGAUUUUUUUUCUGGAAAACAAUCAGGCCCUGUCCUAAUGGGAUGCACAGAAGAUAUCCAGGAUGCAUUACAUGAAGCUAAUGAAUUCCAAGUCAGAAAAGAGCCAUAUGGAGAUGGUGAGAUUAGGAACCAGACUCAGCAUCUACCAUGCUUGGUGGGGCUCAGCACUCAAGCCUGUUUGAUGGGCACUGUGGACUGUGUCUCCUCACCUCCAAAAUUCUUAUACUAUGAGGCCCCCAUCCCCAGGGUGGCUGUAUUUGAAAUGGGGCCUCCUCUAUGGAUAAUAUGGCUGGGUAUUAACUAGUCCUGUGAUAACUAAUAUUGAUUUUUUCAACUUGAUGGGAUUUAGAAUCACUAUGGAAAUAAGCCCCCUGAAGUCUGUAAGAGAUCAUCUACAUUAAGUUAAUUGAGAUGAGAAGUUGUAUCCUAAAUUUGGGUGGCACCACUCUAGGGGCUGGGGUCCUGAAUUGGAUUAAAAGGAGAAAGCAGGGGCUGGAGAGAUGGGUCAGUGGUUAAGAGCACUGACUGCUCUUCCCAAGGUCCUGAGUUCAAUUCCCAGCAACCACAUGGUGGCUCACAACCAUCUGUAAUGGGAUCAGAUCACCUCUUCUGGCCUGUCUGAAGACAGCUACAGUGUACUCAUAUGCAUAAAGUAAAUGAAUAAAAUCUUUUAAAAGUGGGGGGGGCAAGCUGAAUGCCAGUAUUCAUCCCUGUCGAGUUCCUGGUUAUGGUUAUCGCCAGCUGCCUGAUGCUCCUGCUUUCAAACCAUGAGCCAAAGUCGACCCUUCCUCUCUCAAGUUGCUUCUGUUACAGCAAGGACACAAGCACCUCAUACAGGUGCCUUGCAUCCUUUGGGAUCUAUAACGGACUUGAAAGGACAUGCUGGUGGUCAUCAAAUAAGAGCAAGCCUGCCUCUUCAUCUGUUGGCCUCCAAAGACGUUCUAACAGACCUGUCCCCUAAACCUUUCUCUACUGGGAGACAAGCAUACACUCUCAGAGUUCACAUUUGAUGAUGUAGCUAGUUUCUAGUUUGCUUGUUGUCAAUGCUUCUCAUGUAUCAUUAAAUCACUGAAGCACCCC